AGAAACUUAGGAUAACACAAACCAAGGACCUUCAAAGCCCAAAAUAGAGGUGAAACCCCCCUAGUUUCUG
rnacentral:tRNA from 1 species